rnacentral:rRNA from 1 species
CCUACGGGGGGCUGCAGUCUAGAGGCUUCGGCAAUGGGCGAAAGCCUGACCGAGCGACGCCGCGUGCAGGAUGAAGGUCUUCGGAUUGUAAACUGCUUUCGGCCGGAAAGAAGGCUUUGGUGGCGAACCAGAGUUUGACUGACCGGCGGAAGAAGCCCCGGCUAACUUCGUGCCAGCAGCCGCGGUAAUACGAAGGGGGCAAGCGUUAUUCGGAUUUAUUGGGCGUAAAGGGCGUGUAGGCGGCUUGGGAAGUCUGGUGUGAAAACGCUACCGCU